UAAAAAAAAAAAUAAUCUUAUUAAAAAUAAAUUAUUAUUAAAAAAACAUUUAAAAUAAAACAUAAAUUUAUUAAAAAAAAAGAUUAUUAUUAAUAUUAAACGAAAAUUAAUUUCAAUGUUUUAUUGUUAAAUAAAUACGUAUGUACAUACUACGUCCUCAGUUGUAAUUAAUGUGGUUUUUAUAUAAACGCAGUAGAAAAUUUCGUCUAUUUUUUUAUAAACUUAAAAAAAAAAACAGAAAAAAAUACAAAAAAUAAAUAAAAAAUAAGAAAAUAAAAAACAAUUAAAAAAUAAAUUAAUUAAUAGUAAAGAAAAUUAAAGACGCAAUAAAAUAUGAAACUUAACUGUUUAGUCAAAUUCGUUAUUGAAGCACAAUUUUCAAUUGAUCCAGCCACUUGAAAGCGGUGCUUGUAGGAAAAGAUAAUCUGUAUUUGUUGCUACAAAUGUUACAUUUUUAAUUUUUUACCGCUUUAAUUUUUUAUAAACUAAGCUACAUAUACAUAUUUUUGUUUUAUAAUUUUACUUGUUUUAGAUUACAAUUUAAUUAUGCAUUUUUAUGAUUGUUUUUACAGCUAAACAACAGUUAAAGAAUUCAAAUAUAUUUUUUCUACUACUUUAAUUACUGUUUUUAAUUUUAUUUAUUACGCUUAUUGUAGUAUUUAUAAAUGUUUAAGCAUGCUUGCAAGUUCAUACUCUUGUAUUAUUUAAAAUAGAAACAAGCAAAAUUAAAGCCGCGGUGCGGUUGAGUAUUUGUGCCUUUAAAUUUUUUGCUCACUUUAGUAUUUUCAAAUUAUUUUUCAUUAUUAUACAUUUGUUGUUAUUAAAAAUAAAAAUAUUUUUUUCUUUCAACUUUUUAUUUAGCUUUGUUAUCACAUAAACGUGAACAAUUAUUGUUUAGAAUAUUAUCAAGUUAUUUUUCAAAUUUCUUGCCGGUGCACCGAAAAGCUUAUAUUACGAAACUAAAGCUGCCGAAAAUGUUGCGUUCUAAGUUGAAUGAUUUUAUAUAAAUGUUUAACUGAUGAUGAAUAUUUGUACAAUAUAUGUAAAAAUUAGUAAAUGACGUUACCACUUAUUUGUAUGCGGUAACUGUCAAAAAAUAUAACAAACAAAUUUAAAUAAAGUUCUAACAGCACAAAGCGCUUUUAUUAGAUAUUUGAAAUGCUUGUAAAAUAAUAAAAAAAAGUUAUAUGUGUAAAUGUAUAUAUUUAAAUAAAAAAAAACUAUAAAUAAUAAUUUAAAAUAUGUAUAACUAGUGCGUCAUAUUUCAGUUUCGGGUUUCGCUUUUCUAGUUUUGAAGUUGAAGCUACUUGCAAAUCACAAAGUUGGUUACUAACUGUAAAUAGUUUCAAACGCCUAAUGCGCUAAGACCACACAAGUUUGCAAAAGUUAGCUAUUAAUUAGUUUUUUCACGACGAAGUUGUAAAAUGUGUUAAAAUUGCUAGAUUCAACAAUUAAUUUAUGAAAUAAAGUUUUCAGUUUAUAUUUAAUUAAUGUAUUAAUAUAAAAAAUUUAGUUGAGUUAUUUAUUUUAUUUAUUUAUUGUUAUUUAUAUACCAAUUUGUAUUUUGUUGCAUUACUUUAUUUUUUUCAUAUAUUUUCUUAUUUGUGUAUUAAAAUACUUUUUGUUUACCUGGUUUACCCUGGUUGGAAGUUUACCAGGGUUGCAAAUAAUUUGCAUACAUUUUUUUUUUUAUUUUGCAAACCCGUAAAUCAUAAUUAAAAAGUAUUUUUAAAUUAUUUGUAAACCCGAAAAUCAUAAUUAAAAAUUAUUUUUAAAUAAGCACCGUUCUGCCAUUUUGGAUUUCUUUUGCAAAGCAAGCUUUGUUCAGUAAAAUAACAACAUAGGACAGUUAGCUCUUUUUGUCUUAUUUACAUAUAUUAAAUUGCUUUAAAUUAGAGUGUAUUAGUUAGAAAUAUGUAAAUCUUUCCUUUUUUAUGCGCUUUCAUUCCAGCUUUUUAUUUGAAAAUAAAUUUUUUUAUUUGUUUUUUCAAUUUUCAAAAAUUUUAAAAUUUAAAAUUUUAUACUAAUUAUUAUUUAAUGAAAUAAAAAAAUUUUCAGAACUAAAAAUUUAAUUUUUAGCACCAAAAUCGGAGUUAAAAGUUAAAUUUUUAGCACCAAUCGGAAUUAAAAGUUUAAUUUUUAGUGCCAAAAUUUGGAAUUAAAAAUUGAAUUUUUAGUGCCAAAAUCGUUAUUAAAAACGGAAAAUCGUAUUUUUAAACCAAAUUUUUUUAAUUCGAAAAUUCGCAAUCCUGCUUCCAACGCCGUCAAACAAGCGCCAACUAAGCUUAUUACUUUAUUUAAAUUAAACAUACAUGUGUUAAUGUUUAUUAAUUAUAUUUAUUUAUUUGUUUUUAUUUUUCUUGUUGCAUUUUGUUUUUUAAUUGUAUUUAGAAAUAAUAUUAAACAUGACCGUUAGACUUAACGACUUAAAUGUUGUUUACAUGUAGCAUAGCAAACAUAUAUAUACAUACAGUUACAUAAAUAAUAAUAGUAAUAAUAAUAAUAAUAAUAUUUAUUAAUAACCAUAAUAAAAACGGCAUACUAAUUAGUUUAAUUGCAUUUAAUUAUUUGUUAAAAGUAUAAAGAACGACAUACAGAUGAUAAAUGAAACUCGAAAAAAAAACUUACCGCGACGUGAAAUCUCCCCCGUUUGUUUGUUACUUCUUCUUUACUAUUUAGUAUAUAUAUUUUCAUAUUUUGCUUAGUUAGUAAUUAAAUUUAAACUUCUGCUGCUGCACUUUUCUUUCACCCUCAAACGCGCUUUGUUGCUAUGCUUCAUGGGAAGCUAAAAUAUUACUUUUGUUCUGUAACUUUUGCUAAAUUUAUUUGAAAUGUUAAAAAAAAAAAUUGUUGCGAAAAUUGCAAAUCAAUAUUUUGCUGCGGCAUAAUGUCAAAUUUUGUUAACGCACAGACGCCAGUACGCACUAUUUCGUCGCCAACGUGCGUAUGAUGCUUCCUUUGCUGCUUACAGCCAAGCAAUUGAUUGUUUAAAAUUUAAACUUCAAAUAGCCGUAACGCAUAAUGGCGAAAUGUGUGCAGACAAAACGCGUUCAAAACGCAUAAAAUAGAAAAAAUACGGCUAUACAAGGCGUUGGCGUGUGUUUGCAAUGCCGAAAUUAAAGUUUGACAAACACGCAUGGUUUUGUUUAGCUUGUUUAUGUGUUGCUUGCUGUCACUGCAUGGCGUUGCCAAACAUGCAAAUAGUUUAGUAUUUGAAGCGCAUUUGAUUGAUUGCAUUUUUUUUGUUUUUGUUUUGGUUUUUUCUUCUGCUUUUACUUAAGAGUUAUGUUUGUUAAUGCUGUUAGUUUUUUUGUUUUGCUUUGUUUUUCUUAUGUGUGUUUUAAUUAUAUUUGUAAAUCGUUUGCUGUUGAUUUUAGCUAAUAAAGUUUUUUAGUUGAAUCUGCUUGCAGUUAUACAGUUACGAGUUUGCUUUUUUGUUUUUUUUUAUUUGUUGCUUACAGUAGUGCAAAGUGCGACAAAAUCGUUCUUGAUUUUCGGUUUCGUACGCGUGCUUGGCUGCCUGCACGCUUUACCUACACUGUUCUAUGUACUCCAUUUUCUUACAAUUUUUUGUGUGAUUUUAUAAUUAUUUAUUUAUUAAUUUUUUUAAUUAUUUUUAUUUUUUGAUUACAUUUCCUUUAACCGCUAACUGUUAAACUAACUGUAACCGGUUGCUGCUGUUUUGUUAUGUACCGAAACUGCUGCAACUGCUUGAGUUCUUGUACCAUGCGCAACUUCUUUAUAUGCGCCUCAACUAGCCCCUAUUCAACUUCAAACAGCAUCAGUGACACUUUUAGUCAUCAUCUAUACAAUUCUAAUCUCGCUAACCCAUUGUCGUCGCUGUCUGUUGCGGCUGUGUGCCAUUGCCACCGCCGCCGCUAUUAUUGCUGCCGCCACUACCGCCGCCAUUGCCAUUGCCGCCACUGGCGCCACCGGCGCUUGAAAUCGAAGUGGCAUCACCCGCGCCGGCUGCUGACGCAACGCUAGCAGACGCUUGCUGUUGGUUACCGCCAUUGCUGCUGUU